GUGUAUGUAUAUAUGUGUGUAUGCAUGUCUAUAUAGGUAUGUGUAUAUGUAUGUCUAUAUAGGUAUGUGUAUGUAUAUAUGUGUGUAUGCAUGUCUAUAUAGGUAUGUGUAUGUAUAUAUGUGUAUAUGUAUGUCUAUAUAGGUAUGUGUAUAUGUAUGUCUAUAUAGGUAAGUGUAUGUAUAUAUGUGUAUAUGUAUGUCUAUAUAGGUAUGUGUAUGUAUAUAUGUGUAUAUGUAUGCAUGUGUGUAUGGAUAUGGAUAUACAUAUCUACCCCAAAAAUAUAUGGGGGAUUGGAAAUGAUGCAGACAAUUACAUUGAUGGAACCAAUAUUCUUUCCGCAAUAUUUAGCUGAUCCACCCCUCUAAAAAAAAAAAAAAAGAUGAUAUCUAAACAAUUGUUUACACUACCAAGAGUAUGGACUUGAUUGAGCGAUCAGGUUAAAGGCCAAGAUAAUUUCACCUGUCAAUCAAACCGUAGAGGCAGACACUAAAGUGGUAUGGGGAAGAUCGGAUGGUAAAGGGAUUUUUUUAAGUGGAACCCGGGUGGUAGUGGGAGUUCCUAUGUCAUGGAGUCAAGCUGCAGAAAAAGGGCAAGGCUUUGGCAAGGUCAGAGUUGGGUGAGCUUGUGGCUAAUCCCCCUGUCAA
ensembl:lncRNA